UACGUAGGGUGCAAGCGUUGUCCGGAAUUAUUGGGCGUAAAGAGCUCGUAGGCGGUCUGUCGCGUCUGCUGUGAAAACUCGGGGCUUAACCCCGGGCCUGCAGUGGGUACGGGCAGACUAGAGUGCGGUAGGGGAGACUGGAAUUCCUGGUGUAGCGGUGAAAUGCGCAGAUAUCAGGAGGAACACCGAUGGCGAAGGCAGGUCUCUGGGCCGAUACUGACGCUGAGACGCGAAAGCGUGGGGAGCGAACAGG
rnacentral:rRNA from 1 species